rnacentral:ncRNA from 2 species
UAUUAAUCAAGAGUGAUGGGGAGAGUUUUGGCUCAUUGAUCCAUCCGGCAACCGAAAGCUAUUAAUUUACGGUGCUAAACCCAAACCCAUUUUGGGAAGGAUUAGGU